CGUGUAGGCGGGGAUAUAAGUCAGAUGUGAAAUUCCGGGGCUCAACUCCGGAGCUGCAUCUGAAACUAUACCUCUUGAGUGCUGGAGAGGAAAGCGGAAUUCCUAGUGUAGCGGUGAAAUGCGUAGAGAUUAGGAGGAACACCAGUGGCGAAGGCGGCUUUCUGGGCAGUAACUGACGCUGAGGCGCGAAAGCGUGGGGAGCAAACAGGAUUAGAUACCCUGGUAGUCCACGCUGUAAACGAUGGAUACUAGGUGUAGGAGGUAUCGACCCCUUCUGUGCCGGAGUUAACACAAUAAGUAUCCCACCUGGGGAGUACGGCCGCAAGGUUGAA
rnacentral:rRNA from 1 species